rnacentral:precursor_RNA from 8 species
GGCCACCUGCUCUGAGUGCAGGGCUCGGGCUGCCCAGGCUGGGGCUGCUGCUGUAUCUGAGCUGUGGAGUCACAGCCCCGGCCUGGCCUGGCCUGGCCUUUCCACCUGCCAGCUGCAGAGC